ACGUCAUUUUAUUGUAAAUUUGUCAAAAAGCUUCAAAAAGAGGAAUUGCACCAAAAAUUAAAAUUGUGGUCUAAUUAAUUAUCUGGAAAAGGAAGAACUCGAAACCAACAAUCAAAAAUCCCUACAUUAUCUAAUUCACGCGUCUACAUUACAAACAAUUGUAUAUUCAGUGCUCUUUCUUCGAAACAACAAAAUGCCUUCUGAAGCUAAAAACACACCGAAUUUCUUUAGGUAUUGGUACACAAGGUACCUGUUGGCGACAGAACUGUACAUGGUGGAACCCUGGGAGAAGGUCGUGGUCCAUUGUCUUAUCGCUGUCCUUUUCCUGCUCUUCUGGUAUUUCAACUCUGCCAUCGUUGUCAGUGGUAUUUCAAGACUACGGAUCGCUUCAUCGAACGUGGAAGAAGUCCUAAGUCCUAGCGAUAUUAAAAAUUAAGAAUUAAUAGUGAAAUGUGUACGAGUUAUAUGUAUUUGAGUUUUUAUGUGAUGACCAGUUCAUCAAUAUGUUGUAAUAUGAUGACGAUUCAAGUAUGUUUAAUUUUGUCAUUACCAAGUUUUGUUUUACAAAUCCAAACUUGAGCCAAAUACUUGAAUUACUGCACUCUAUUUUGUCAUUCCUGUUAUGUUUACCUUA